rnacentral:rRNA from 1 species
UACGUAGGCAGCGAGCGUUGUUCGGAAUUACUGGGCGUAAAGAGUGUGUAGGCGGUGUUCCCAGUCUGUUGUGAAAUCUCCCGGCUUAACUGGGAGGGUGCAGCGGAAACUAGAAUGCUAGAGGGUGGGAGAGGUAAGCGGAAUUCCUGGUGUAGCGGUGAAAUGCGUAGAUAUCAGGAGGAACACCUGUGGUGUAGACAGCUUACUGGACCACUUCUGACGUGAGACACGAAAGCGUGGGUAGCAAACAGG